rnacentral:ncRNA from 1 species
GCCUUACUGUUAAUUCUAAUUAGACCUACACAUGCAAGUUUCCGCAACCCUGUGAAAAUGCCCUUAAAACUAAAGAUAAAGGAGCUGGUAUCAGGCACACAAAAGUAGCCUAUUACACCUUGCUUAACCACACCCGCACGGGAAACAGCAGUGACUAAUAUUAAGCUAUAAACGAAAGUUUGACUAAGUCAUAAUUAUAGGGUUGGUAAAUUUCGUGCCAGCCACCGCGGUCAUACGAUUAACCCAAAUUAACAAGAUCCGGCGUAAAGAGUGUUUAAAAAUAAAGUUAAUACUUAACUAAACUGUAGUACGUACUAGUUAAUACCAAAAUAAAUGAUAAAAAUGACUUUAAAAUUGUUGACACACGACAACUAAGGAACAAACUGGGAUUAGAUACCCCACUAUGCUUAGUUAUAAACUAAGAUAACUUAAUAACAAAGUUAUUCGCCAGAGAACUACUAGCUACCGCUUAAAACUCAAAGGACUUGGCGGUGCCCUAAACCCACCUAGAGGAGCCUGUUCUAUAACCGAUAAACCCCGAUAAACCCAACCCUAUCUUGCCAAUACAGCCUAUAUACCGCCAUCGUCAGCCCACCUUAAAAAAGUCCAAUAGUAAGCAAAAUUAUUAACCAUAAAAACGUUAGGUCAAGGUGUAGCAUAUGAUAGGGAAAGAAAUGGGCUACAUUCUCUACUUUAGAGCAUAACGAAUCACAUUAUGAAACUAAAGUGCUUGAAGGAGGAUUUAGUAGUAAAUUAAGAAUAGAGUGCUUAAUUGAAAUAGGCAAUAGGGCG